GUUGCUUUGUAAAAGUACUUCAAUCUGAGGCUUCAUCCCGUUUUCCUGCAAAGUUUGACAUGCGUACGAAGUAAAGGAUUUAUGGAUUCAGACCUACGUGAGACUUUGGAUUCAGAAUCUUUGAAGAUUUGAUCUCUAUUCCACUGUGUGUCAGGUAAAUAUCUAAUCUUUAUUAAGUUGUUAUAGAAAAUUUUUAGAUGCACCCUGGCUAUCCGCCCCAUUCUUUCAAAGAAACAGGUUUCUUUCUCCU
rnacentral:lncRNA from 1 species